AAGUGAUUGACAAUUAACUUGCAAAAAACUUUUUUAAAUCAUGGUUUGCUAAUCAACUUGAAGAUGGAAUUAACUAAUUAAAA